CGAGCGGACCGAACGAGGGCUUGCUCUUGUUUGGUCAGCGGCGGACGGGUGAGUAACACGUGGGCAACCUGCCCGCAAGACCGGGAUAACUCCGGGAAACCGGAGCUAAUACCGGAUAACACCGAAGACCGCAUGGUCUUCGGUUGAAAGGCGGCCUUUGGGCUGUCACUUGCGGAUGGGCCCGCGGCGCAUUAGCUAGUUGGUGAGGUAACGGCUCACCAAGGCGACGAUGCGUAGCCGGCCUGAGAGGGUGACCGGCCACACUGGGACUGAGACACGGCCCAGACUCCUACGGGAGGCAGCAGUAGGGAAUCUUCCGCAAUGGGCGAAAGCCUGACGGAGCGACGCCGCGUGAGCGAAGAAGGCCUUCGGGUCGUAAAGCUCUGUUGUGAGGGACGAAGGGGCGCCGCUCGAAGAGC
rnacentral:rRNA from 1 species